rnacentral:tmRNA from 1 species
GGCCUUCUCCGCGAGGGGGUGGGCUGCUAUAUGAGUGGGGACGCCUCGUGCGCCUAUGGCGAUAAACGGCGAUCGUAAUAAACGGCCCGGACCCGGGGGCAGUACCCGGCGGCUCCACCAGAGGGCGUCCUCCCGACACCGGGGGCGGCUUGCGGCGGGGCCGAAACAGCAUCGACGGACGUGUAGAGGAUCGGCUUUUGCUCGGGUGACCUCCGUUAUUUGGUCAACCAUGAAUAGUUGCCAACGACAACAACAUGGAAGGUGUCGCCCUCGCUGCGUAAGCAGCGCGGAGAUACCGCACUUUAAGUCCUAGGGCUUUUCCCGUCCUAGGCGGGGCCGCCGGGGGCCUGGCAACAGAACCCCGGCACU